CCUACGGGUGGCAGCAGUAGGGAAUCUUCCGCAAUGGACGCAAGUCUGACGGAGCAACGCCGCGUGAGUGAAGAAGGUUUUCGGAUCGUAAAACUCUGUUGUUAGAGAAGAACAAGUGCUAGAGUAACUGUUAGCGCCUUGACGGUAUCUAACCAGAAAGCCACGGCUAACUACGUGCCAGCAGCCGCGGUAAUACGUAGGUGGCAAGCGUUGUCCGGAUUUAUUGGGCGUAAAGCGAGCGGAGGCGGUUCCUUAAGUCUGAUGUGAAAGCCCCCGGCUCAACCGGGGAGGGUCAUUGGAAAAUGGGGAACUUGAGUGCAGGAGAGGAGAGUGGAAUUCCAUGUGUAGCGGUGAAAUGCGUAGAUAUAUGGAAGAACACCAGUGGCGAAGGCGGCUCUCUGGGCUGUAACUGACGCUGAGGCUCGAAAGCUUGGGUAGCAAACAGGAUUAGAUACCCCUGUAGUCC
rnacentral:rRNA from 1 species